rnacentral:rRNA from 1 species
UACGGGGGGGGCAAGCGUUGUUCGGAAUUACUGGGCGUAAAGGGCUCGUAGGCGGCCAACUAAGUCAGACGUGAAAUCCCUCGGCUUAACCGGGGAACUGCGUCUGAUACUGGAUGGCUAGAGUUUGGGAGAGGGAUGCGGAAUUCCAGGUGUAGCGGUGAAAUGCGUAGAUAUCGGGAGGAACACCAGUGGCGAAGGCGGCCCUCGAUCG